UCCUUGUGGAAGUUGUAAUGUAUACCUCUGGAUCAGGGCCUCCAGAGCCUAGUGUGUUAUUGCUGUGGAGGGGCUUUGGCAGUCUGUGGAGUGGAGUGAAGUGGAGUGUGGCGUGGGGAGCAAAGAGAAGGAGGAGACAAAACCCUCCCAGACAUGCUGUGACCUCAGCCCUGGAGUCUUCCCACCGCCUGACCCGCCGAACGAGACUCCGGGCCCCGAGUCUCUCUUAGGUGCAGGACAUUGGCUACUUUUCGCUAAGUGGACACAGCACAGCAGGAGCGCGGGCCUGAGCCGAAAGGCUGGAAGAAUCGAUUGGGCACCUGGCCAAGAGAACGAGCAAUGAGACGAGCUGUUUCUCUUAAGGAAGAACUCUGUCUUGUGCAUGCGGCCUACGUUCAGGAUGAUGUUGGUUCCUUUGGUGACCUUGUGGCCGUCGAUAACGUCGUCGGCCAGGGCCCU